AAUGAACCAGCACGCCGCCCACAUUUCUUCUCAGUCAGCAGAUAAAGCAGACAAACAAUCCUCCGACGAGAGCUUCUCGGACGAAACCUGUUUGGUCUCUUUCUAUCUCCGUCUCUCUCUCUCUUUCACAGCGUUCUCGGAGGAUCAGCCCAAUGAAAUACCGAGAAGAUUACCGACACCAUCUCUGUCGCCUCUCUCUCCUCGUCCUCUCCCUCCUCUCCCUCUCUUCUUCUUCCGCCUCGUCGGACGUCUCCGACGUCUUCGAAUCCUGGUGCCGGCACCAUGCCAAGAGCUACUCCUCCGACCAGGAGAGGCUCCAUCGCUUCAGGGUCUUCCAGGACAACUACGAAUACAUCGUCCAGCACAACGCGGCCGGGAAUUCCUCCUGCUCCCUCGGCCUCAACGCCUUCGCCGAUCUGACCCACCACGAGUUCCGAUCCUACUACCUUGGUCUGUCCGGGAGUUCUGAUCUCGGGCGGCGCGGGGUUGGGGUGGGACGGGACGGUGCCGUCAUCGGCGAGGUUCCGGCUUCGGUUGAUUGGAGGAAGAAGGGGGCAGUGACGGGCGUGAAGGAUCAAGGAAGUUGUGGUGCUUGUUGGGCGUUCUCAGCUACCGGUGCAAUCGAAGGCAUCAACAAGAUUGUCACAGGAUCUCUCGUCAGCCUCUCAGAACAAGAGCUAAUCGACUGUGACAGAACCUUCAAUGCAGGUUGUGGUGGUGGGCUCAUGGAUUAUGCAUAUAAGUUCGUGAUGGACAAUGGCGGGAUUGACACAGAAAAAGACUAUCCUUUCGUAGCUCGGGAAAAGACCUGCAAUAAGGAAAAGUUGAGGAGACAUGUUGUGACAAUCGAUGGAUAUGUAGAUGUGCCAGCAAAUGAUGAGAAGCGGCUGCUAGGGGCUGUGGCCUCUCAGCCUGUGAGUGUUGGUAUUUCUGGUGGUGAGAGAGCAUUUCAGUUGUACUCCGAGGGGAUCUUCACUGGCCCCUGUUCAACUGACUUAGAUCAUGCCGUGCUGAUCGUGGGUUACGGGUCGAAGGAUGGCGUGGACUACUGGAUUGUGAAGAAUUCUUGGGGCCCAAGCUGGGGGAUGGAUGGAUACGUGUACAUGCUCCGGAACAGUGGGAACUCCGAGGGACUCUGUGGCAUCAAUACACUAGCCUCAUACCCAACCAAAACCAAGCCCAAUCCACCUCCCCCGCCACCACCAGGGCCCACAAAGUGCGACCUGUUCAACUACUGUCCUCGGGGCCAAACGUGUUGUUGUGCUUCACGUUUCAUAGGAAUCUGCCUCUCCUGGAAAUGUUGCGGGCUUGAUUCAGCAGUGUGUUGCAAGGAUCAUACCCAUUGUUGCCCGCGCGAUUAUCCUGUUUGUGACACAAAAAGGAAACAAUGCCUCAAGUAUUCUUGGAAUGUUACGGAAGGGGAGGUGCUACCGAGCAUGAGAGCUACUUUCGGGAAGCCAAGCAGUUGGCGCUCCUUCGUCGAGGCUUGGAUUUUCUAGGGUAUUCUUUAUGAAAGUACAUAGAGGAAACUAUUUAUCGGCACACAGUUGUGGAGAUUACUUCGGCAGGACGAAGUUCUGAUUUUCUAUCAAGAUUCUUGUAGACCGAGCUUUUAAUUCCCGGCGUCGAGUUUUUCUUUCUCAUUCCUGCCAUUGACGAGACUGAAACGAACAAGAGAGUAAGUGACUCUAUUUCGCUUCAACAUAUAUAAGUGAGACGUUCUUUCCUUUCCUUUCAACUUAAACAGUUCCUAGAGAACCCGGGCACGGUAUAUCAAUGACAGCGGGAUACUGCAUUCGAGAUGCUAAUUGCACAACAUGGUGCAACUGCGACAUUUCCUCGGACUAUGCAACCGAAUGCGCAGUUGUUUCUAUGGUCAACAUGAUCUUUACAUUCUCCUUCCUUGUAAAAACAAGUGGGCAAUAUUCAGCCAAAAAAAAUAAAAAUAAAAUACAAGAGGGCAAUGAAUUUCUCAAUCACAAAACCGUUGAGAAGGACGUUUGGUUUUAUCAUUAUUUAUGUACUUAUUUAUUUUUAAAUUA